rnacentral:rRNA from 1 species
GUGCCAGCAGCCGCGGUAAUACGUAGGGUGCGAGCGUUAAUCGGAAUUACUGGGCGUAAAGCGUGCGCAGGCGGUUCGUCAAGUCUGAUGUGAAAUCCCCGGGCUCAACCUGGGAACUGCAUUGGAUACUAGCGAGCUUGAGUGUGGCAGAGGGGGGUGGAAUUCCACGUGUAGCAGUGAAAUGCGUAGAGAUGUGGAGGAACACCGAUGGCGAAGGCAGCCCCCUGGGCUAACACUGACGCUCAGGCACGAAAGCGUGGGGAGCAAACAGGAUUAGAUACCCCAGUAGUCC